GUCUCGCUGCUGCGCGUGUGGGAGUGGGACAGCGACGGAGCGGGCUGAAACUUUCGCUGCUUGUCUCCUCCGCGAUGUGGAGCGAACUGGAAGAGUGCUUCUCCUGGAGAAUAUGUGGGGUUAAUCGGAUAAAUUGACGAGCAUGAUAGGAUUAGUGAACACCCAUUGGACGAUACAUAGCCUGAGUCAAGGAAAAAUACACCUGUAUCUGGAAGUUCCAACUUCUGGAGUUUCAGUAUCCUGGCAAAAACUACACCAUGGAGACAAAAGAUCAUCCAAGCAACUCCACAAAAAGCACAGAUCUCUUCAGUUGUGGAAAAAUCCAAGGCAAACAAGAAUUUAAUAUGAAGACUUGAGACUACAACGGAUGAAAUCUGGAGCAACUCACAAAGAUGCUGAGGGAUCUCAACAGAUGCUACCUGACCUGCUGAGUUCCUCCAACAUCGUGUGACUCUGACUCCUGGAUUGCCAGUAUCUGCAGAAUCUGUUGUAUUUAGCUCACCUUCUCAGAUGUUGCUUGACCUGCUCGGUUCCUCCAACAUCGUGUGACUCUGACUCCUGGAUUGCCAGUAUCUGCAGAAUCUGUUGUAUUUAGCUCACCUUCUCAGAUGUUGCUUGACCUGCUCGGUUCCUCCAGUUUUACUUUCCUGUUCCAGAAAGCCAGCUUACUUGUUUGGUGGCAACCCUCUACUGAAUUUUCCCAAGAUUUAAUGGGAAAUGGAUUCAGAAGAAAUAGAAUUUAGAAUCAAAAUAGAGUAAAUGCAUUUUCAAUAAAACCAAAAUAGUACAAAUGUUUGUAAUUGUAUUUUUUAGGGAAGUGAGGUGAACCAUUCCCCCUUUGUGCAUACAUGACUCCUCAAUAGAAAGCGUUUAGUGCAACAUGUUCCUGGGAAUUCACAUCACAGGUGACCUCACCUGGUCCCUCAAUAUCACCUCCCUGAAUCAGCACCUCCACUCCACUUCCUGAGGAAAUAGAGGCAAGUGAGGCUCUCCACCCCCCAUCCCACCCCAAUCUAAACUGCAUUUUACAGGAGCACCACUGACAGCAUCCUGACAAAUUGCAUCUCCAUUUGGUAUGGGAGCAGACAAACAUCGGAACAAAAGGCCCUGCAAAGAACAGUGAAAAUGGCCAAGAGGAUCAUGGGUGUCUCCCUACCAUCCAUCAGGAAAAUUUAUUGGGAGGAUUGUGUACUCAGGGCCCUUGAUAUUAUCACGAAUCCCACCCUUCCAUCCAGCAUCCUCUUUGACUUUCUAUCAUAAGGCAGGAGACUACGAUGCAUAAAGACAAGAACGGUCAGGAUGGAAAGCAGCUUCUUCCCUUGGAUCAUUAGGCUUCUGAACUCUCUGCAGCAUCACAUUUGAAGUGUCACUAGAUACUCUACAAUACCAUACUCUACAAUAUUUAAUUUAUGCACUCUACUUCCUUUAUCCAUGUGUAAUUCAUUUGUAGACUUAAUUCUUGCAUUCCUAAGUUAUUGUGUGUUAUGUGUACUACUGUGCUUUAUACCCUGGUCUGGAGAAAUGCCUCAUUUGAUGGCAUAUAUGUAUGUAGUUAAAUGGCAAUAAACUUGGCUUGAACAGA